rnacentral:rRNA from 1 species
UACGGGGGGGGCAAGCGUUGUUCGGAAUUACUGGGCGUAAAGGGCGCGUAGGCGGCCUGCUAAGUCGGAUGUGAAAUCCCUCGGCUCAACCGAGGAACUGCAUCCGAUACUGGCGGGCUUGAAUCCGGGAGAGGGAUGUGGAAUUCCAGGUUUAGCGGUGAAAUGCGUAGAUAUCUGGAGGAACACCGGUGGCGAAGGCGGCAUCCUGGACCGGUAUUGACGCUGAGGCGCGAAAGCUAGGGGAGCAAACGGG